rnacentral:rRNA from 1 species
CAGCAGCCGCGGUAAUACAGAGGGUGCAAGCGUUAAUCGGAUUUACUGGGCGUAAAGCGCACGCAGGCGGUUUGUUAAGUCAGAUGUGAAAUCCCCGAGCUUAACUUGGGAACUGCAUUUGAAACUGGCAAGCUAGAGUCUUGUAGAGGGGGGUAGAUUUCCAGGUGUAGCGGUGAAAUGCGUAGAGAUCUGGAGGAAUACCGGUGGCGAAGGCGGCCCCCUGGACAAAGACUGACGCUCAGGUGCGAAAGCGUGGGGAACAAACAGGAUUAGAUACCCGGGUAGUCCCUGUCUCUUAUAC